rnacentral:rRNA from 1 species
GACGAACGCUGGCGGCGUGCUUAACACAUGCAAGUCGAGCGGAAAGGCCCUUCGGGGUACUCGAGCGGCGAACGGGUGAGUAACACGUGAGUAACCUGCCCCAGACUUUGGGAUAACCCUCGGAAACGGGGGCUAAUACCGGAUACGACACAGCUUCGCAUGGGGUCUGUGUGGAAAGUUUUUCGGUUUGGGAUGGGCUCGCGGCCUAUCAGCUUGUUGGUGGGGUGAUGGCCUACCAAGGCGACGACGGGUAGCCGGCCUGAGAGGGCGACCGGCCACACUGGGACUGAGAGACGGCCCAGACUCCUACGGGAGGCAGCAGUGGGGAAUAUUGCACAAUGGGCGGAAGCCUGAUGCAGCGACGCCGCGUGAGGGAUGACGGCCUUCGGGUUGUAAACCUCUUUCAGCAGGGACGAAGCGUAAGUGACGGUACCUGCAGAAGAAGCGCCGGCCAACUACGUG